rnacentral:rRNA from 1 species
UACGUAGGGUGCGAGCGUUGCCCGGAUUUAUUGGGCGUAAAGGGCGCGUAGGCGGCCACGCACGUCCGUUGUGAAAUCGCCCGGCUCAACUGGGCGGGGUCAGCGGAUACGGUGUGGCUCGAGCAAGCUAGGGGGCAAUGGAAUUCCCGGUGUAGUGGUGGAAUGCGUAGAUAUCUGGAGGAACACCGGUGGCGAAGGCGGCAUCCUGGACCGGCAUUGACGCUGAGGAGCGAAAGCCAGGGGAGCAAACGGG